GACAGAGGGUGCAAACGUUGUUCGGAAUUACUGGGCGUAAAGCGCGUGUAGGCGGCUAUGCAAGUCGGAUGUGAAAGCCCUCGGCUCAACCGGGGAAGUGCACCCGAAACUGCAAAGCUAGAGUCUCGGAGAGGAUCGUGGAAUUCUCGGUGUAGAGGUGAAAUUCGUAGAUAUCGAGAGGAACACCGGUGGCGAAGGCG
rnacentral:rRNA from 1 species